AUGUCACCAUUGUUGCGCCAAAGACAAAAUAAUAAGUUCAUGUAUUAUGCAUAUCCACUUAGCAUUUUCAAUGUUCUCUGUACAUUAUUAAUGUUAUUUAUCCGUAUCCAGCUCCCGCGGAGAGAAACAGGAAGUGAAGAUGUAGCACUGAGGAAGGGGUGCCGUCCAAAUGGCACNNNNNNNNNNUUUUUUUUUUUUUUUAUGUAUUGGAAGAAAAGUCUAUCCCCAAAGGUUACUAGGCGGUGGUGCUGGAUUUUUUCUGUGCACUGUUUAGGCAACACACCUAGGCAGAGACGAUUCAUCUUUUCCAGUAACUGGGCGGAGGGAGAAAGGGAGAGCUAGGAACCUUCCUCUACUUUCCAGAGAGGAGAAGAAGAAACAGACCACCUGGAGAAGAACAAGCAGCAUGGUCUAAUUCUCAAAUGGCACACUAUUACCUAUAUAGGCUAGUGCACUACUUUUGGCCAGGACCUAUAGGACUCUGAUCAAAAGUAGUGCACUAUAGAGGGAAUAGGGUGCCAUUUAGGACGCAAGUUUGGUACUGAGGAGAAAUUGGGAUAAUGUGAACUGUGGGGAGGUUAGAAUUUAUAUCCUUCUAACUUGCCGUCUUGCUCUCUCUCUCUCUUUCAUGUGCAAAUCCUGGCCACAUCUUAGCCUUGCAGUUAACUGUGGAUCACUGAAAUACAAAGACAGACAGCAUUCUACAUCAUCUUCAAUGACUGAAAGAGAACCUUAUGUCAACUGCUCUGCNNNNNNNNNNCUGGGAAGCAACCCAGGCGGGCCACAGGUCUCAGGAUGACCCUGGCUGGGUGGACCGUUCAGUGUUGUCUAGGGCUUUGAUCAUCCCCCCCGUUGGGAUGUAUUUGUUCCUGGAGGACGUCUCCCGUUUCUCAGAAACAUCCCCGGGGCUGAGUGGUGUCCUGCAAACAAGGUAUUCCAGAACACCACUUCUGUCACAACUCCUUACACUGACGGUGGUGUGUGUGUGCUACUGUGACAGCUACCAGCAGGACAUCAGGUGUGGAGCCGAGCGCUAGCGGAGCGUUACUUGCAGCCCCGCAGGACUCAGCAUUGUGGGUAAAUCUCCCACGCCGUGGGUCUGAUAGAACACAAGCAUUGGAGUGGCGGGAUAGUUGUGACAGAAAAACAUAGUCACACACUUGGACUUUACACUCAAAUGCGCACGCGCACACAGUGGUGAAUAGGCUUCAGGUUAGACUCCUGUUCCAUUUGCACAGCCAUUCCAAGUUAUCUCAACUCCUGAUGACUUGUACGUGGUACUGAAACCUUAUCACCGGGAAAGGCCCAUGUGUUUCCUAGCAUUCCAUUGCCUUGAUCGCAUUAGUAGAAUAACUACUACAUUAUUUGUCUAGCUCUGAUCCAUGGCGUUACAUGCAGAUUACUGAAGCUGAGCCUUCUCAGUGUCAGCAAACUGCACGUAACCCCUGGACCAGAGCUACUAUUUGUCCAACCCUACAGUAUCAUGGCAGUGAGAUGUGAUAUGAUAGGAGAUGUGAGCGACUACCGAGGGGAAAGCUGAUCUGUUCUGUAUUCCUGCAGUGUCUCCUCAGUCCGUCUGACCUCAGACACCGGUCACGCUGUCAUAAUUCUUCUGACACAUACCCCCUCUCUGUUGUCUCCCUUCUCUCCCGUAUUAGAUCAGACGUUGGCCGCCCAUUCCCAUCCAUUGCUCCCUCACUCACCUCACGGCGCGCACCCCAAAUGGCAUCCUAUUCCCUACAUAGUGCACUACUUUUGAUCUGGACCCAUAGGGCUCUGGUCAAAAGUAGUACACCAUGUACGGAAUAGGGUGCCAUUUUGGGAUGCAACCAUGUACUCAUCUACCCUCGGGUCCAUCAUCCAUCCAUCUCCUCUAUCCUCCAUUCACCUUAUCAUCACCUUUCCUGUCAGGGUACCUCAGUGCAGCUCUCAUGCCAUCAGAGGCUGAUAACAUGUCAAUCACAUUAUAGAGUCCCAUUAUAAAGAUACUGUGGAUGACUCCUUUGACUUGCUCUGUGGUUUGGUUUCGAGUUCAGAUAGGGAUUGGCUAGCUGGGAAUACAACCUAGUGUGUGUGUGUAUGAGAGUGCAUGCGUUGGUACGUGCCUGCGUGUGUGUGUGACAGAUAUGAAAGCAUCUGUUUAUGCCGGUGCCAACUAAACAAGUGACACGAGGGAGCCUGACCUUUCCAAGCAGGAAGCAGAAGGCUGUAAUUCAUAUUCACAAUUCAUUGACAUCUUCUGACGGUUUCAGACACACAUUUACAUACCGAGGGGGUCUGUUUCAAACAGGCAAUAUUACAUUUAGUAUCAAAUCAAUGAAAUAACAAAUUGAUUCGUCACAUGCUUCAUAAACAACAGGUGUGAACUAACAGUGAAAUACUUAGUUACGGGACCUUCCCAACAAUGCAGAGAGAAAGAAAAUAGAGAAAUAAUAGAAAAGUACAAAAUGUAAUAAUAAAAGUUAUAAUACAUAAUGAGUCUUGUCUAUAUACACGGGGCACCAGUUCAUAUAUACCAGUAUAUUUAAAACUGUCACAUAACAGUUUGGGAGACAAUUUGGGAGACAAUUACAUGGUUUGUUCUGCUAAUUAGGUGUGUGUUAGCUGUUUCCUGGCGGUCCUGCUGCCCAGCGUAUCCAGGGUGUGAGCAGAAUGCAGGGUCAGCAGGAGAGUCUAGUCUAUGGCCAGGCCACACUCUGCUUUCCAGUGGGCCACCACCUCCUGGGACACAGAUACACAGCACAGUAAAUAGAUCAGACAUUCAUUCAGAGAGACAUUCAGACAGACAACAAAAUAGACAGACAGAUUAGCAGACAUACAGACUCACUCGCUCACAAUGUACAGCUCAUAAAAUGCUCAUAAAACGUUUUUGGACAGUAACUCAAUUGGACCUCUAGGUGUCAGUAAUGAAGCUGUUUAUCAAGCAACGUGUUUUCCUCAAUUUAAAUGACAUUUGAUCAAAUAUAUAAAUAUAUGACUUAUUAUGGUUUCUCUAGUUAUACAGUUGCUGUGCAUGUCCGCACUGGCCGAGCAACUCAAACAUCCUGUGGUUCCAAAUGCAACAACAUUUAACAUAUAUUACUUGGCAAUGGCAGAGCUGAGAGCCUUAACCCCUAUGAUAAUCUUAUAGCAUGGCAUAAAUCCAAAUUUCGUACACUCAAUACUUAUUUUUUUUUUAUCAUCUAAGUGCUGCUAAACACAAAUUUGUGACCAUAUACAUUUGGUAAAUAGAUAGAGAAGCUGCCCAUGCCAGGGUAUUGAGCACUAUUCAAUUCCCAAUCACUGUCCCUUCGCAAGCUUAGUGCUAGCUAAAUUGCGGGCUGCUAUCCUAAACAUUUGAAGAUAAACUUGACACGGUAGAGUAUUGAGCACUAUUUAGUUUAUCUCAGCUCCAAUGCUGACAGAUCUGACAGUGUCUGCAUCCUAAAUGGCACCAUAUUCCCUAUGUAGUGCACUACUUUAGACCAGAGCCCUAAUGCUACAGUAGUCCUAUGCCCUGGUCAAAAAUAGUUUACUAUGUAGGGGAAUAGGAUGCCAUUUAGGACUCAGAGGAUGGCAUUUAAAGGAGUGAAUCCCAUUGGCUGUCACUAAAAUGAAGGAUUCACGCUGAGUCACUGCUAUUGGCCCAAACUCUGCCAAAGGAGUACAUUAAAGACCAGAAAUACUGCCGAAUAUGACCUGAUGCCUGUUCUGAUGCCUCAAUAUGGGAAAAUACUGGUGCGCUAUACAGGGAAUAGGGUGCCAUUUGGGACACAGCCACAGAUUUAUUAAGAAGGGAAUAUUCAUGGACAGGAGAGAUCAAUCUUGUAUAUUAAAAUAAGCUGCCGGCAUAGAGAAAUGAGGGAGCAGCACUUCAGCUGAACAACACAUCUGAGAGACAUGGAGAUGAGACUUAUGUGUGGUGCUACUAUCCCUCAGACUUUGUCCAGCUGCGAUAGCCCACAACCAUUAUGAAUCUCACUCCCCUCCACGAUGAUGCACAGUGCUUUUGUUGUCCUGUGAGGUUAAGCAGUCACACCGACAAGCACCGCCCUCUGCUUCCAUUGACUUUUAGUAAGCGGUGGCUAAAGUUAGCUCUUUCUUUCAUUCCGUUUCUCUGAUGCCAAGGUCGUCGAUGGCUGGGAGGCAGACAUAUGCUGUCAGAGGAGGAGAGAGCAGAGCAGGACAUGAGAGAGGGCAGCUGUAGUGGUAGAGGGAGAUGGCAAGCUCUGAAUCUUAAUGAGCCAGAGACUUCCAGGAAGAAGUCAACUCAAUUUUAAGUUGAAGAGCUGGUGUGUGAUGAGCUACCGGGUACAAAAUGGCCACUGUGGCAUCACCCAGGUGGGCGCUACAGAUGGAUAGAGGGUGAAGUGAGUCGACCAAACCACCUUGCAAAGCUGGGUUUGAUCACAGCCUGUUACUCUGUCCCAGGACUAAUUGAGCCUGAUGGAAAAAUCCUUCCUUCCUUCCCUUUCACUCUCUUUAUCUCCCUCUCAUUUUCUCUCUCGUUUUCCAUUUCACUUUCUCUUCAGUCCUGCGGUUACCAACAGGAGCUAGGUGUGGAAGAGUCUUUCAGUUGUGCUGUUGUAGCAACCAAAAUCUGAGAGACUUACCAUCUGGUAAUGUCUGAAAACAAGGGUGGGGUUGAUUCAUCCAGCUAACUGAUGAUAACGUUGCUAUAAACUUCCCCCAUCUCACGCCAGCUGGCUUAACAUAGUAAACAUGGUAGUGGAAAUGACAGACUAUUCAUCAAGAACAUCUAAGACAAACAUUUUUUUUUUUUUUUUAUGUAUUGGAAGAAAAGUCUAUCCCCAAAGGUUACUAGGCGGUGGUGCUGGAUUUUUUCUGUGCACUGUUUAGGCAACACACCUAGGCAGAGACGAUUCAUCUUUUCCAGUAACUGGGCGGAGGGAGAAAGGGAGAGCUAGGAACCUUCCUCUACUUUCCAGAGAGGAGAAGAAGAAACAGACCACCUGGAGAAGAACAAGCAGCAUGGUCUAAUUCUCAAAUGGCACACUAUUACCUAUAUAGGCUAGUGCACUACUUUUGGCCAGGACCUAUAGGACUCUGAUCAAAAGUAGUGCACUAUAGAGGGAAUAGGGUGCCAUUUAGGACGCAAGUUUGGUACUGAGGAGAAAUUGGGAUAAUGUGAACUGUGGGGAGGUUAGAAUUUAUAUCCUUCUAACUUGCCGUCUUGCUCUCUCUCUCUCUUUCAUGUGCAAAUCCUGGCCACAUCUUAGCCUUGCAGUUAACUGUGGAUCACUGAAAUACAAAGACAGACAGCAUUCUACAUCAUCUUCAAUGACUGAAAGAGAACCUUAUGUC
rnacentral:lncRNA from 13 species